GACCAUGAGGUCUCAGAAAACACCCCCAAAAAUUCGAAACAAACUUCAUCCAAGACAACGAAGUACAUAGAAACAUAGUCGAAUCGUCGUCGAGGCUCUGAUACCAUGUAAACAUUCAUAUUAGACCGAGAAAUCAUAGAAAAUAUAGAGAGAGAUAGUAGAGAGAAGGCAGAGCGUUUUGGAAUUCUCUGGAAGAUGAGAGAAGUAUGUUAUAGAAAAUGAAAUGAAA
rnacentral:lncRNA from 1 species